GCUUAAUUGCCGGCGACCGGCGCACGGGUGCGUAACAGGUGUGCAAUCUGUCCAGUAUCGGGGGAUAGCCCGAGCGAAAGCUGAAUUAACACUCCAUGUGAAUCGAAGCCGCAUGACUUUGAUUUGAAACGCAAGGACUAUGGGUGAGCACGCUUCUGAUUAGGUAGUUGGUGGGGUAAACGGCCCACCAAGCCAACGAUCAGUAGGGGUUCUGAGAGGAAGGUCCCCCACAUUGGAACUGAGACACGGUCCAAACUCCUACGGGAGGCAGCAGUGAGGAAUAUUGGUCAAUGGGCGAGAGCCUGAACCAGCCAAGUCGCCGUGAAGGAUGAAGGUUCUAUGGAUUGUAAACUUCUUUUGUCCGAGGGUAAAAAAGGCUACGUGUAGCUUCUUGCAAGUAUCGGACGAAUAAGCAUCGGCUAACUCCGUGCCAGCCGCGGC
rnacentral:rRNA from 1 species